rnacentral:rRNA from 1 species
CAGUCGCCACGGUAAAACGUAGGGUGCAAGCGUUAAUCGGAAUUACUGGGCGUAAAGCGUGCGCAGGCGGUUUGUUAAGACAGAUGUGAAAUCCCCGGGCUCAACCUGGGAACUGCAUUUGUGACUGGCAAGCUAGAGUGUGGCAGAGGGGGGUGGAAUUCCGCGUGUAGCAGUGAAAUGCGUAGAUAUGCGGAGGAACACCGAUGGCGAAGGCAGCCCCCUGGGCCAACACUGACGCUCAUGCACGAAAGCGUGGGGAGCAAACAGGAUUAGAUACCCCGGUAGUCCCUGUCUCUUAUAC